UACGUAGGGUGCAAGCGUUAAUCGGAAUUACUGGGCGUAAAGCGUGCGCAGGCGGUGAUGUAAGCCAGAUGUUAAAGCCCCGGGCUCAACCUGGGAACUGCAUUUGGGACUGCAAGGCUGGAGUACGGCAGAGGGAGGUGGAAUUCCACGUGUAGCAGUGAAAUGCGUAGAGAUGUGGAGGAACACCGAUGGCGAAGGCAGCCUCCUGGGCUAGUACUGACGCUCAUGCACGAAAGCGUGGGGAGCAAACAGG
rnacentral:rRNA from 1 species